GACUGUCGUCAGCUCGUGUCGUUGAGAUGUUCGGUUAAGUCCGCUAACGAGCGCAACCCUCGCUGUGUGUUAUAUGUGUCACACAGGACUGCUGGUAUUAAGCCGGAGGAAGGUGGGGACGACGUCAAGUCAGCAUGACCUUUAUAUCCAGGGCUACACACACGCUACAAUGGCCAACACAAUAGGUUGCUAAGCCGCGAGGUGGCGCCAAUCCACAAAGCCGGUCUCAGUUCAGAUUGCAGGCUGCAACCCGCCUGCAUGAAGAUGGAGUUGCUAGUAACCGCAGGUCAGCUAUACUGCGGUGAAUACGUUCCCGGGGCUU
rnacentral:rRNA from 1 species